UACGUAGGGUGCGAGCGUUGUCCGGAAUUACUGGGCGUAAAGGGCGCGCAGGCUGUUAUGCGAGUCUGCUGUGAAAUGUACCGGCUCAACCGGUGCCUUGCGGCGGAUACUGCAUAGCUGGAGUACUGGAGAGGGAAGUGGUAUUCCCGGUGUAGCGGUGAAAUGCGUAGAUAUCGGGAGGAACACCGGUGGCGAAGGCGGCUUUCUGGCCAGUUACUGACGCUCAUGCGCGAAAGCGUGGGGAGCAAACAGGAUUAGA
rnacentral:rRNA from 1 species